rnacentral:rRNA from 1 species
GAUGAACGCUGGCGGCGUGCUUAACACAUGCAAGUCGAACGGUGAACACGGAGCUUGCUCUGUGGGAUCAGUGGCGAACGGGUGAGUAACACGUGAGCAACCUGCCCCUGACUCUGGGAUAAGCGCUGGAAACGGCGUCUAAUACUGGAUAUGUGACGUGACCGCAUGGUCUGCGUUUGGAAAGAUUUUUCGGUUGGGGAUGGGCUCGCGGCCUAUCAGCUUGUUGGUGAGGUAAUGGCUCACCAAGGCGUCGACGGGUAGCCGGCCGGAGAGGGUGACCGGCCACACUGGGACUGAGACACGGCCCAGACUCCUACGGGAGGCAGCAGUGGGGAAUAUUGCACAAUGGGCGCAAGCCUGAUGCAGCAACGCCGCGUGAGGGAUGACGGCCUUCGGGUUGUAAACCUCUUUUAGCAGGGAAGAAGCGAAAGUGACGGUACCUGCAGAAAAAGCGCCGGCUAACUACGUG